rnacentral:rRNA from 1 species
UCCUACGGGAGGCAGCAGUGGGGAAUAUUGGACAAUGGGCGAAAGCCUGAUCCAGCAAUGCCGCGUGAGUGAUGAAGGCCUUAGGGUUGUAAAGCUCUUUUACCCGGGAUGAUAAUGACAGUACCGGGAGAAUAAGCUCCGGCUAACUCCGUGCCAGCAGCCGCGGUAA